rnacentral:rRNA from 1 species
GACGAACGCUGGCGGCGUGCUUAACACAUGCAAGUCGAACGGAAAGGCCCUGCUUUUGUGGGGUGCUCGAGUGGCGAACGGGUGUGUAACACGUGAGUAACCUGCCCUUGACUUUGGGAUAACUUCAGGAAACUGGGGCUAAUACCGGAUAGGAGCUCCUGCUGCAUGGUGGGGGUUGGAAAGUUUCGGCGGUUGGGGAUGGACUCGCGGCUUAUCAGCUUGUUGGUGGGGUAGUGGCUUACCAAGGCUUUGCCGGGUAGCCGGCCUGAGAGGGUGACCGGCCACAUUGGGACUGAGGUACGGCCCAGACUCCUACGGGAGGCAGCAGUGGGGAAUAUUGCACAAUGGGCGGAAGCCUGAUGCAGCAACGCCGCGUGCGGGAUGACGGCCUUCGGGUUGUAAACCGCUUUCGCCUGUGACGAAGCGUGAGUGACGGUAAUGGGUAAAGAAGCACCGGCUAACUACGUG